rnacentral:lncRNA from 1 species
AAAUGACUUGAUAUUAUUGAAUAAAAGUGGCUGUUAUAUAGCCUUACAAAUAAACCAAAUAGCUAGAAAAUAGCUCAACUAACAGAAACGUGGUAAAAGAAAAAAUCAAAGCAGAAACACCAAAGAAAGUGUCCACUGUGAACAACUCUUCCUAGAUACUAGGAACCUUAUUCAAUCUAAAAACUAAAACCUUUUCAUUCCUUCCCUUAAACUUACUGCAAAUUGCAGUCAGUUUAUAUCGAGAACUUCUCCAACACCCAACAACUCUCUUAACUUCAGAAAGGCAUCGAGCUUCAACGGUUUGGUCAUCAAAUCUGCCACCUGAUCCUGACUUCCACAAUAAGCUAAAGCAAUUGUACCUUUCUUAGUAAGAUUUC